ACACGUAGGGGCCUGACGUUGUUCGGAAUCAUUGGGCGUAAAGGGCGCGCAGGCGGCCGUCCAAGUCCGGUGUUAAAUGGUCGGGCUCAACCCGAUCAUGCGCUGGAAACUGGGCGGCUUGAGUCCCGUAGGGGAUGCCGGAAUUCCAGGUGUAGGGGUGAAAUCUGUAGAUAUCUGGAAGAACACCGAUGGCGAAGGCAGGCAUCUGGGCGGAGACUGACGCUGAGGCGCGAAGGCGCGGGGAGCGAACAGGUUUAGAUACCCUGGUAGUCCGCGCAGUAAACGAUGCGCACCAGGUGUCGGGCGGCAGCGCCCGGUACCGGAGCUAACGCGAUGAGUGCGCCGCCUGGGGAGUAUGCCCGCAAGGGUGAAACUCAAAUGAAUUGACGGGG
rnacentral:rRNA from 1 species